UUACACUUGCAUGGCUUUGUGUUAACAAGCUUAUAUAAAUAACGUCAGCAUAUUUUAGCUAGCUAUAUAAGACGGAGGAGGUAGCGCUGCUAUAACCAAAACGAGAAUUCUCCCCGGAAGUGGGUGGUGCAUGCAAAUAGUUUUAUGCUAACGUUAUUUAGUUAGCUAUAUAGUAGCAGCAACAGCUGGUUGCUAGUUGAUUUUCUUGCCUAGCAAAUUGAAAACUGGCCAUUACGAUACCGGUAAUGGUUCGAUAUGAUAAACCGCAACAUUCUGGGUAACAUUAGCUAGUUAGGGAACGUUAAACACAAAACGUUUUGAAGGGCUUAGUUUUGGUGUUUCCUGUGCCCUAUGAUCUAAAUCUGAUUUGCUGUCUGGAUAUAGGCGCUGAAGGAGGAUGGCGGUGUGGAUUCAGGCCCAGCAGUUGCAGGGGGAUGCGCUGCACCAGAUGCAGUCUCUCUACGGACAGCACUUCCCCAUAGAGGUGCGUCACUACCUGGCCCAGUGGAUCGAGGGGCAGCUCUGGGAUUCUGUGGAGCUGGAGAACCCCCAGGAUGAGCUGAAGGCCAAGCGUCUGCUGGACAGCCUGGUGCAGGAGCUGCAGAGGAAGGCCGAGCACCAAGUGGGGGAGGACGGCUUCCUGCUCAAGAUCAAACUGGGACACUACGCCAGCCAGCUUAAGAGCACUUAUGACCGCUGUCCUCUUGAGCUGGUGCGCUGCAUCAAGCACAUCCUUCACUCGGAGCAGAGGCUGGUGCAGGAGGCCAACAAUGCCGUCGGGAGUGGCGGUGGGGGUGGGACCAUGGACAGCCUGUCCCAGAGGCACCAGCAGAUCAACCAGACGUUUGAGGAGCUGCGCGUGUCCACGCAGGAGACUGAGAACGAGCUGCGCAAGCUGCAGCACAACCAGGAGUAUUUCAUCAUCCAGUACCAGGAGAACCUGCGCAUCCAGGCCCAGUUGAGCAGUCUGUCAGCCGUGCCGGCAGAAGAGCGAACCCAGAGGGAGACCAGCCUGCAGGCCAAGAGAGCCACCGUGGAGGCUUGGCUCACCAGGGAGGCCAACACACUGCAGAAAUACAGACUGGACCUGGCGGAGAAGCACCAGAAGACUCUGGGCCAGCUGAGGAAGCAGCAGACACUGAUCCUGGAUGAGGAGCUGAUCCAGUGGAAGAGACGUCAGCAGCUGGCCGGCAACGGGGGACCCACUGAGGGGGGACUGGAUGUCUUGCAGUCCUGGUGUGAAAAGCUAGCGGACCUGAUCUGGCAGAACCGGCAGCAGAUCCGGCGGGCCGAACACCUGACCCAGCAGCUACCUCUGCCUGGCCCAAUGGAGGAGCUGCUCACCAAGCUCAACUCUGACAUCACCGACAUCAUCUCCGCUCUCGUCACCAGUACGUUUAUCAUCGAGAAGCAGCCCCCCCAGGUGCUGAAGACCCAGACUAAGUUUGCGGCGACUGUGCGCCUACUGGUGGGCGGGAAGCUCAACGUGCACAUGAACCCCCCGCAGGUCAAGGCAGUCAUCGUCAGCGAGCAGCAGGCCAAGGCCCUUCUCAAGAAUGAGAGCACCCGCAAUGACAGCAGUGGAGAAAUUCUCAACAACAACUGUGUGAUGGAAUACCACCGGACCACAGGAACCCUGAGUGCUCACUUCAGGAACAUGUCCCUGAAGCGGAUCAAGCGGUCGGACCGUCGCGGGGCAGAGUCGGUCACAGAGGAGAAGUUCACUGUCAUGUUUGAGUCUCAGUUCAGCGUGGGGGGCAACGAGCUGGUCUUCCACGUCAAGACAUUAUCUCUCCCCGUCGUGGUGAUAGUUCACGGUAGUCAAGACAACAACGCCACGGCAACGGUCCUGUGGGACAAUGCUUUUGCAGAGCCGGGCAGGGUGCCAUUCGUCGUUCCUGACAAGGUGCUGUGGCCCCAGCUGUGUGAAGCCCUAGACAUGAAAUACAAGGCAGAGAUGCACAGUGCCCGCGGCCUCUGCGACGACAACCUGGUCUUCCUGGCCCAGAAGGCAUUCAGCAGCGCCAGCAUAAACCCAGAAGACUACCGCAACAUGACCAUGUCCUGGGCCCAGUUCAACCGGGAGAGCUUGCCAGGGAGGAACUUCACUUUCUGGCAGUGGUUUGACGGAGUCAUGGAGCUCAUGAAGAAACACCUGAAGCCCCACUGGAAUGACGGGGCGAUCUUGGGCUUUGUGAAUAAACAGCAGGCCCAGGACAUGCUGAUGUCCAAGCCCAACGGGACCUUCCUGCUCCGCUUCAGUGACUCUGAGAUCGGGGGCAUCACCAUCGCCUGGGUGGCAGAGAACCCUAACAAAGCGGGGGAGAGGCUGGUGUGGAACCUCAUGCCGUACACCACCAAAGACUUUUCCAUCCGCUCACUAGCCGACCGCAUCAGUGACCUCAACCACCUUAUGUUCCUCUAUCCCGACCGGCCCAAGGACGAGGUGUUCUCCAAGUACUACACCCCUCCCCUCUCAAAAGCAGUGGAUGGCUACGUCAAACCACAGAUCAAGCAGGUUGUGCCAGAAUUCACUACUCCCAACCCUGAGCCGUCCAGUGGGAACCCCACCUACAUGGACCAGGCACCCUCCCCGUCAGUGGCUCACCCCAUCAACUUUGCAAUUUUCCCUCCCAUGGACUGAUUUAGAUGUGGGACACCAGGUGGGUGCAAUUAAUUAUCAGGGAGAACAGAAAACCAUCAGGCUUCGGACCUCGUAGGAAGUGACCCCAUGAUGGACGCAGAUGGAGAGUUUGACCUGGAAGACACCAUGGAUGUGGCCCGACACGUGGAGGAGCUUCUGCGGCGGCCCAUGGCCAACCAGUGGGACGGCCAACAGUCCUGAACUUUCACCUUUGACCCCUGACCCUGCACCCAACAAGAGCAAGCACCCAGAAAACGUCCAAUGGUUUUGUUGGUCCCAUUGGUUUAUAUUGUCUAUUUUUUUGUCAAUUCUCAAAGGUGAAAUGUAAUAUUUGACAGUUCUUGGAUUCUUUUGAUCUUCUUGACGUGGCAAUUGAUUAUUUAAAAGAAAUAACUAAUUCUACCUGAAGAAAAAGCACAGUUGAAAAGGUUUGUUUGGAAGUAAGUACUGAUAAAAAUGUAGAAAUGUGUGUUACUACAAUAUACAGCAAUAUUUUUACAAAAAUGUUUAGCUAUGCUGCUUAUGGCCAUCCUCUGAAAAUGUUUAAAGAGCAGGAAGGCCUGCACACUGUUUUUAUGCUCCCAAUUCACAGCUUUAUUGACAAGGUUUCGAUCCGAACCGGAUCUUUGUCAGGUCAAACAAAUGGAGUGCUCACAUCCGAAAAUGUACACGUUUCACCUCACAUGACCAUGACACAUGGUGGGUGUGGAAACAAUUCAAUUAACUUUCUCAGUUUAUCCGAGGUACAUGUGGUCCUAAAGGAUUAUAGUCAUACAAAUAGGGCUGAGUUAACCUAGGCAACUUCUUUUUUUUUAAAGGCCAUAUAUAUAAUUACAGUGCUCCUUUUCAAAAACCAACUUGUGUACCUCUAAUAAUUUAGAUAUCAAUGAGAUGGGCACGUGUAGUAGUCUUUGAAUAUAUAAUAUGUACAAAAUGACCAAGUGGAGACCUAGCCGUCAAGACAAAUCAACAGACUAUUUUUUACAUAAAUAUGUUAUCAAAUUCUUUGUUCAUAGCUUUAGGAGACAUGGUGGACAAACGGGGAAUCCAAUGUGAUUCUCUUCUCAGUAAUAGAUUAACAGUACCCCCCCCCCCCCCCCAAGUAGCCUUAACAUGUUCAAUACCCGUGUAUCUCAGAGAGCUGUUGUGACGAGCCUCUGUAACGUGCAGCCACAGUUUCUCUGAUCAAGAGUCCUGAUAUUUCUCUUGUGUUCUGUUUUCACAGCUCGUUUCGUUUUUCCUUCAUGGCAUAGACCACAAAUGCACUUGAUCAGGUAUACCAUUUUUUUUUUUUUUUUGUAUAACACGUGAUACACUUAAUCUUAAUGGCCUUGCCUGUGAGAUGGGUUGAUUGAACGUUGUGCAUUUGUUCUUAGUCACACUGCGUACAUCGGCCACAUCUGUAAUUACUGUCCGGCACGUUAUCUAGGAAGGUGCUACGUGGCAUCUGUGGGAAGGGAUGGUUUGGGAGUGAGGCUAGGUCAUGUUUUUCUAACUGUCCCGUGCGUCAUACAACCAAUCCUCUGGUAACGGCAGGAAGCCUAGUGGUUAGAACGUUGAGCCAGUUACCAAAAGGUUGUUAGAUCGAAUCUCCCCGCCGGCAAGGUAAAAACCUGUCGUUCUACCACUGAGAAAGGUAGUUAACCCACUGUUCCCCGAGUUCCGAAGACCUGGAUGUUGAUUAAAGUGUGAUUUUUAAAUGCGGGAGACUCAUUUCAGUUCAAGGCAUUCAGUUGUACAACUGACUAGGUAUCCCCUUUCCCUGUUUGAAGUGUUCAUCCAGACCGUGCACUUGAUUGUACUACAGAUCCUGCUUAUACAACUGUAUUGGGUGAUAGGGAGGCUCUUUUUCAGGGAAACGGUACUUUUACUCUUCAGGUUGGUAUCGUCAAAGAGAGGCGCUAUAGUCAAAGUACACCGCAUUUCUUUAAAUGCUCAGUGCUCUUUGUUUCCAAAGGUUUGGAAUGUAACUAUUAAAUUAUUUGAAUCUUGCGUCUCUACACCGUUUAAAUUCAAAAUCAACAUAACAAAAUUGCCAUUCAGAAUGAAUUCUGUUUGAAGUAGAUUCCACCGUUGAGUAUUUGAAAUACGAUAGUACAGUAUUUUGACCCUUUGCAUCCUCAAAAUGGGGCCCUUGGUUUGAAACGCCAUGUGCUGUGUACAUUCUGACUCACAUUACAUGAGUAAUAAUACAUGUACAGUAUCUUCUGCCUUUGAAUGUCAAGUUUAAUAGCCUUAAUUCAAACUCCUCUUGCUUCUUAUUACACUGAACUAGUUUCACUUAGUGUAUCAGUUUAGAAAAAUAAACAAAUUAACUAGUAACUAAACUAUUGAAUUGCUACUCAAAUUCAUCAGACUACAAUAUAAACUCAGCGAUAACCAAUGACCCGCUCUCUUUGCUUGAUUUAAUUUAGUAUGAAUUAAAAACAAAACAAAAAAUUGACCUUUUGCCCAGAUCAUACCUUGUUGUUUAAGAUGUUAAGUGUUACCCAUUCACUGAAAAUAUAAAUUUUGAAUGGGCUGUGUGAUCAUGUAUUGAUAUUUCUUUUGACUGUAUGCAAACAUGUUUUUUGUUACCUAUAUUUGCAGGCACGCCACCCCUGUUCCUGACACUUAGCUACCCACUCUUUUUAUCUCAAGUACCGCAUACAGCUACUACCUUAUUUUCCUGUUCAGAAGUACUUGCGCAGUAUCGUACCUUCUCUCCUUCUCUUUCUGUGCCUUAAGACACUGACCACGAUUGUGAAGUGGCAACAUCAAUGUCCAGGCAAGAGAUUGUAUAACCACCUACCUUUAGUAUGCUCUCCCUUGCCUUUACAGCACUGCAUUCAGCAGGGCAUGGGCAAUGUUGUGGAGUGUAGAUUUUAAAAAAAUAUAUAUAUACAGUGCCUUGCAAAAGUAGACAUCCCUCUUGGAGUUUUGCCUUUUUUGUUGCAUAACAACCUGUAUUUUAAAUGGGUAUUUAUUUGAAUGUCAUGUAAUGGACGUACACAAAAUAGUCUAAAUUGGUGAAGUGAAAUUUUAAAAAUAAUGUGUAAUAUAAAUAUAUAUAUAUAAUUUGCUAUGAAGCCCCUAAAAAAAUAUGAUGCAACCAAUUACCUUCAGAAAUCACAUAAUUAAAGUCCACCUCUGUGCAAUCUAAGUGUCACGUGAUCUCGAUAUAUAUAUAUAUAUAUAUAUACACCUGUUCUGAAAGACCCCAGAGUCUGCAACACCACUAAGCAAGUGGCGCAAGCAAGCAGGCACCAUGAAAACCUCAAUCCAAACAGGUCAAGAACAAAGUUGUGAAGUACAGAUCAGGGUUCCCCCCCCCCCCCUUAAAAUAUUUAGAUGCACUAUUGUAAAGUGGCUGUUCCACUGGAUGUCAUAAGGUGAAUGCACCAAUUUGUAAGUCGCUCUGGAUAAGAGCGUCUGCUAAAUGACUUAAAUGUAAUGUAUGUAAAUGGUUCAGUUAAAAAAAAAUCAAACUUUGAACAUCCCACGGAGCACCAUUUAAACCAUUAUUAAAAUAUGGAAAUAAUAUGGCACUACAACAAACCUGCCAAGAGCGGUCCACCCACCAAAACUCAGACCAGGCAAGGAGGGCAUUAAUCAGAGGGGCAACAAAGAGCACAAAGAUAACCCUGAAGGAGCUGCAAAGCUACACAACGGAGA